rnacentral:rRNA from 1 species
UGUAUUUAUUAGAUAAAAAACCAAUGCCCUUCGGGGCUUUUUGGUGAUUCAUGAUAACUUUACGGAUCGCAUAGCCUUGCGCUGGCGACGGUUCAUUCAAAUUUCUGCCCUAUCAACUUUCGAUGGUAAGGUAUUGGCUUACCAUGGUUUCAACGGGUAACGGGGAAUUAGGGUUCGAUUCCGGAGAGGGAGCCUGAGAAACGGCUACCACAUCCAAGGAAGGCCGCAGGCGCGCAAAUUACCCAAUCCCGACACGGGGAGGUAGUGACAAUAAAUACUGAUACAGGGCUCUUUUGGGUCUUGUAAUUGGAAUGAGUACAAUUUAAACCUCUUAACGAGGAACAAUUGGAGGGCAAGUCUGGUGCCAGCAGCCGCGGUAAUUCCAGCUCCAAUAGCGUAUAUUAAAGUUGUUGCAGUUAAAAAGCUCGUAGUUGAAACUUGGGCCUGGCUGGCGGGUCCGCCUCACCGCGUGCACUCGUCCGGCCGGGCCUUCCUUCUGAAGAACCUCAUGCCCUUCACUGGGCGUGCUGGGGAACCAGG